UGGGGAAUCUUGCGCAAUGGGCGAAAGCCUGACGCAGCCAUGCCGCGUGAGUGAUGAAGGCCUUAGGGUUGUAAAACUCUUUCACCGGGGACGAUAAUGACGGUACCCGGAGAAGAAGCCCCGGCUAACUUCGUGCCAGCAGCCGCGGUAAUACGAAGGGGGCUAGCGUUGCUCGGAAUUACUGGGCGUAAAGGGCGCGUAGGCGGAUCAGCAAGUUGGGGGUGAAAGCCCGGGGCUCAACCUCGGAAUUGCCUUCAAAACUGCUGAUCUAGAGUACGGGAGAGGUGUGUGGAACUCCGAGUGUAGAGGUGAAAUUCGUAGAUAUUCGGAAGAACACCAGUGGCGAAGGCGACACACUGGCCCGUUACUGACGCUGAGGCGCGAAAGCGUGGGGAGCAAACAGGAUUAGAUACCCUGGUAGUCCACGCUGUAAAACGAUGAUUGCUAGUUGUCGGCAGGCAUGCCUGUCGGUGACGCAGCUAACGCAUUAAGCAAUCCGCCUGGGGAGUACGGUCGCAAAGAUUAAAAACUCAAAUGAAUUGACGGGGUCAUAGCUG
rnacentral:rRNA from 1 species